rnacentral:rRNA from 1 species
AUGGGCGAAAGCCUGAUCUAGCCAUGCCGCGUGUGUGAAGAAGGCCUUUUGGUUGUAAAGCACUUUAAGCGAGGAGGAGGCUACUUAGAUUAAUACUCUAGGAUAGUGGACGUUACUCGCAGAAUAAGCACCGGCUAACUCUGUGCCAGCAGCCGCGGUAAU